GAAAAAACAUUUGAAUUGCAAUCAAAUAACCUAAGUUUAAAUCUUAGAAUCCACA
rnacentral:tRNA from 1 species